AUGGGAUAGAAGCCAAAAAGGAGUUAAGAUCAUCGUGAGUAGGGAUGUCACAUUUAAUGAGAGUGAGAUGCCUUGUCUAAAGAACGAAAUCGAACCUGUAAGUGAAACUGAAUCAGGUGAAGAAAGAAAUCAGUUUAAGGUGGAGUUAGGAAAAUUUAACACAUCAGUACCUAAUACUUCGAAUGAGGUGGAGAUUCAGGUCCAAGAACCUGAAGAGGAAAAUGAAGUAGUGAUAGAAGAGUAUCCUGAGGAAG
rnacentral:lncRNA from 1 species